UGCCAGCCGCCGCGGUAAUACGGAGGGUGCAAGCGUUAAUCGGAAUAACUGGGCGUAAAGGGCAUGUAGGCGGAUUGGCAAGUAAGGUGUGAAAGCCCUGGGCUCAACCUAGGAACGGCACUUUAAACUACUAAUCUAGAGUAUUGCAGAGGAAAAUGGAAUUCCAGGUGUAGCGGUGAAAUGCGUAGAUAUCUGGAAGAACACCAGAGGCGAAGGCGAUUUUCUGGGCACAUACUGACGCUGAGGUGCGAAAGCGUGGGGAGCAAACAGGAUUAGAUA
rnacentral:rRNA from 1 species